AUUGAACGCUGGCGGCAGGCCUAACACAUGCAAGUCGAACGAGUGGCGGACGGGUGAGUAAUGUCUGGGAAACUGCCUGAUGGAGGGGGAUAACUACUGGAAACGGUAGCUAAUACCGCAUACCAUCAGAUGUGCCCAGAUGGGAGUAGCUUGUUGGUGGGGUAACGGCUCACCAAGGCGACGAUCCCUAGCUGGUCUGAGAGGAUGACCAGCCCAACUGGAAACGAGAAACGGUCCAGAAUUCUAAGGGAGGGAGCAGUGGGGAAUAGUGAACAAUGGGGGGAAGCCUGAUGACGCCAGGCCGGGUGUAUGAAGAAGGACCUCGGGGUGGAAAGUAAUUUUAGUGGGGAGGCGGUACCCGCAGAAGAAGCAACGGCUAACUCCGUGCCAGCAGCCGCGGUAAUAC
rnacentral:rRNA from 1 species